rnacentral:tRNA from 1 species
UCCCUGGUGGUCCGGUGGCUAAAACUCUGCACUCUCAAUGCAGGGGCCUGGGUUCAAUCCCUCGUCAGGGAA